rnacentral:rRNA from 1 species
AUUGAACGCUGGCGACAUGCCUUACACAUGCAAGUCGAACGGCAGCACGGGUGCUUGCACCUGGUGGCGAGUGGCGAACGGGUGAGUAAUACAUCGGAACAUGUCCUGUAGUGGGGGAUAGCCCGGCGAAAGCCGGAUUAAUACCGCAUACGAUCUACGGAUGACAGCGGGGGACCUUCGGGCCUCGCGCUAUAGGGUUGGCCGAUGGCUGAUUAGCUAGUUGGUGGGGUAAAGGCCUACCAAGGCGACGAUCAGUAGCUGGUCUGAGAGGACGACCAGUCACACUGGGACUGAGACACGGCCCAGACUCCUACGGGAGGCAGCAGGGGGGAAUUUUGGACAAUGGGCGAAAGCCUGAUCCAGCAAUGCCGCGUGUGUGAAGAAGGCCUUCGGGUUGUAAAGCACUUUUGUCCGGAAAGAAAUCCUUGGCCCUAAUACGGUCGGGGGAUGACGGUACCGGAAGAAUAAGCACCGGCUAACUACGUG